rnacentral:rRNA from 1 species
AGUGAACGCUGGCGGUAGGCCUAAUACAUGCAAGUCGAACGGCGGAACAGUAAGCGCUUGCUCUUACGAUUGGCGAGUAGCGGACGGGUGAGGCAUACAUCGGAUUCUACUUUUUCGUGGGGGAUAUCGUGGGGAAACUUAUGCUAAUACCGCAUAAGACUUACGGGUGAAAGCAGGGGUUAAUCGUACCUUGCCAGCACUCAUGGAUCGAUGUCGGAUUAGCUAGUUGGCGGGGUAAAGGCCCACCAAGGCGACGAUCCGUAGCUGGUCUGAGAGGAUGAUCAGCCACACUGGAACUGAGACACGGUCCAGACUCCUACGGGAGGCAGCAGUAGGGAAUAUUCGGCAAUGGGCGCAAGCCUGAUCCAGCAAUGCCGCGUGAGUGAAGAAGGCCUUCGGGUUGUAAAGCCCUGUUGUUGGGAAAGAAAGGCAGCGGGUUAAUAACCCGCUGUACUGGCGGUACCCAAAGCAGAAGCACCGGCUAACUUCCUU